rnacentral:tRNA from 1 species
GCGGGUGUAGUUUAGUGGUAAAACAUCAGCCUUCCAAGCUGAGGUCGGGGGUUCGAUUCCCCCCACCCGCA